ensembl:lncRNA
UGGCAAAGAGCUGGCAUAAUGCAUUUCACCUCUCCUCAAACAUUUGUUAAGGGCUCAUCACGCUGCACUAUUUCUUCCCCUUGCCUUGGAUCAGCCUCUUGAGAAAUCAUUUAGCGUCACACACCCGUUCUCCACCCCCCACUAAUCAAAGAGCCUUUGCACAGUACUACAGACACUGCUUCCAUGUCUCAAAAGCACUAACAAUGCAGAUUUUUUUUUUUUUUUUUGAUUGAAGUCCACUACAGCAGUUCUCCUUUAUCGCAAACUCAAGAUUACUCAACUGCAUUUGGAAAAGAUGCAGGCACCCUCCACGGCACACAUUUGGGAUUGAGUAGAUUCCAGGGGACUAUUCCCAAGAUUAAGCACGUGUGCACACACAAAUCAAGGUCAUGGUAUCUUACACUGACUGUUGGCAGUGUUCGGACACUCUGAUUAAACACUGAUCACAAAUAAAGCCAUUCUACAGAUACAUGUUAUCCUUCCAGCACUGCCCCUUAGCUGAGGUUGGAUAUGAGGAAGAAUUUCUUCUCCCGAAGAGUGGUGAG